UCUACCCAGAGUACGGAAUAAUGCAGGGAAACUUGUACUAAUACCGUAUAAGCCCCUUCGGGGAAAGCGCUAUGGAGCGCUUUGGAUGAGCCCGCGCCGGAUUAGGUAGUUGGUGGGGUAAGAGCCUACCAAGCCUACGAUCUGUAGCUGGUCUGAGAGGAUGAUCAGCCACACUGGGACUGAGACACGGCCCAGACUCCUACGGGAGGCAGCAGUGGGGAAUAUUGCACAAUGGGCGCAAGUGAUGCAGCCAUGCCGCGUGAGUGAAGAAGGCCCUAGGGUUGUAAAACUCUUUCGCCAGGGAAGAUAAUGACGGUACCUGGUAAAGAAGCCCCGGCCAACUCCGUGCCAGCAGCCGCGGUAAUACGGAGGGGGCUAGCAUUGUUCGGAAUUACUGGGCGUAAAGCGCGCGUAGGGGAUUGACAAGUUGGGGGUGAAAGCCCGGAGCUCAACUCCGAACUGCCUCCAAAACUGUCUCUCUUGAGUCCGGAAGAGGUGAGUGGAAUUCCUAGUGUAGAGGUGGAAUUCGUAGAUAUUAGGAAGAACACCAGUGGCGAAGCGGCUCACUGGUCCGGUACUGACGCUGAGGUGCGAAAGUGUGGGGAGCAAACAGGAUUAGAUACCCUGGUAGUCCACACCGUAAACGAUGGAUGCUAGUUGUCGGGAGGCAUGCCUUUCGGUGACGCAGCUAACGCAUUAAGCAUCCCGCCUGGGGAGUACGGCCGCAAGUAAAAACUCAAAGGAAUUGACGGGGGCCCGCACAAGCGUGGAGCAUGUGGUUUAAUUCGAAGCAACGCGCAGAACCUUACCAGCCCUUGACAUCCCGAUCGCGAUUUCCAGAGA
rnacentral:rRNA from 1 species